GACGAACGCUGGCGGCGUGCUUAACACAUGCAAGUCGAACGGAAAGGCCCUGCUUUUGUGGGGUGCUCGAGUGGCGAACGGGUGAGUAACACGUGAGUAACCUGCCCUUGACUUUGGGAUAACUUCAGGAAACUGGGGCUAAUACCGGAUAGGAGCUCCUGCUGCAUGGUGGGGGUUGGAAAGUUUCGGCGGUUGGGGAUGGACUCGCGGCUUAUCAGCUUGUUGGUGGGGUAGUGGCUUACCAAGGCUUUGACGGGUAGCCGGCCUGAGAGGGUGACCGGCCACAUUGGGACUGAGAUACGGCCCAGACUGCUACGGGAGGCAGCAGUGGGGAAUAUUGCACAAUGGGCGGAAGCCUGAUGCAGCAACGCCGCGUGCGGGAUGCCGGCCUUCGGGUUGUAAACCGCUUUCGCCUGUGACGAAGCGUGAGUGACGGUAAUGGGUAAAGAAGCACCGGCUAACUACGUG
rnacentral:rRNA from 1 species